rnacentral:rRNA from 1 species
UACGGAGGGGGCUAGCGUUGUUCGGAAUUACUGGGCGUAAAGCGCACGUAGGCGGCUUUGUAAGUUAGAGGUGAAAGCCCGGGGCUCAACUCCGGAAUUGCCUUUAAGACUGCAUCGCUAGAAUUGUGGAGAGGUAAGUGGAAUUCCGAGUGUAGAGGUGAAAUUCGUAGAUAUUGGGAAGAACACCAGUGGCGAAGGCGGCUCACUGGACCGACACUGACGCUGAGGCGCGAAAGCGUGGGGAGCAAACAGG